rnacentral:rRNA from 1 species
AGUGAACGCUGGCGGUAGGCCUAACACAUGCAAGUCGAACGGCAGCACAGUAAGAGCUUGCUCUUACGGGUGGCGAGUGGCGGACGGGUGAGGAAUACAUCGGAAUCUACUUUUUCGUGGGGGAUAACGUAGGGAAACUUACGCUAAUACCGCAUACGACCUACGGGUGAAAGCAGGGGAUCUUCGGACCUUGCGCGAUUGAAUGAGCCGAUGUCGGAUUAGCUAGUUGGCGGGGUAAAGGCCCACCAAGGCGACGAUCCGUAGCUGGUCUGAGAGGAUGAUCAGCCACACUGGAACUGAGACACGGUCCAGACUCCUACGGGAGGCAGCAGUGGGGAAUAUUGGACAAUGGGCGCAAGCCUGAUCCAGCCAUACCGCGUGGGUGAAGAAGGCCUUCGGGUUGUAAAGCCCUUUCGUUGGGAAAGAAAAGCAGCAGGUUAAUACCCCGCUGUUCUGACGGUACCCAAAGAAUGAGCACCGGCUAACUUCGU